AUAUUAUUAAGUGGAGGAAAAGAAACCAAAAGGGAUUCCCCCAGUAGCGGCGAGCGAAAAGGGAUCUGGCCCAAAGCCGAAUCCUGCGUUCUUUGGGCGUCGGGAAAUGUGGCGUAUGGGAGGUGGUAUUUAUCGCGCGUUGAGGCGGCUCAAGUCCCCAUGAACGGGGCCACUACCGGAGCGGGUGCCAGUCCCGUACGGUCGCUCUCCUCGCGCCUAAUCGCCUCCUCCCGGGAGUCGGGCUGCUUGAUAUUGCAGCCCAAAGUGGGUGGUAUGCUCCACCUAAGGCUAAAUAUCCCCGAGAGACCGAUAGCAAAAAAGUACCGUGAGGGAAAGUUGAAAAGAACUUUGAAGAGAGAGUUCAAUAGUACGUGAAACCGCUUAGAGGGAAACGGGUGGGCCCUCGAAGUAAUAUUCUGGCUCGAACGGUUCAGUUGGGCGCUUUCCCUCUUUUGGGGGAGGGUCCCGAUGCACUUCUGUUCGGCUCAGAGACCGCGACCGGUUGGUCGAAGGUCGGACAAACGUGAUCGGGCGGUUAGAUCGCCUCUCUUAGAGGUUAGGCCGCCCCUUCGAUCCGCCCCGACGGGCGCAAGCCGAUCUUCGAACCGACUGGCUACGAGAGAAACCCUCGAGAGUAUAUAACUUCGUUAUAUGAUAAGGGUCUGCGGUCAGUAGAUCGGGUCCCACCCGACCCGUCUUG
rnacentral:rRNA from 1 species